rnacentral:rRNA from 1 species
AAUGAACGCUGGCGGCAGGCCUAACACAUGCAAGUCGAGCGGGUAUCUUCGGAUACUAGCGGCGGACGGGUGAGUAACGCGUGGGAACGUACCUUUUGCUUCGGAAUAGCCUCGGGAAACUGGGAGUAAUACCGAAUGUGCCCUACGGGGGAAAGAUUUAUCGGCAAAAGAUCGGCCCGCGUUGGAUUAGGUAGUUGGUGGGUAAUGGCCUACCAAGCCGACGAUCCAUAGCUGGUUUGAGAGGAUGAUCAGCCACACUGGGACUGAGACACGGCCCAGACUCCUACGGGAGGCAGCAGUGGGGAAUCUUAGACAAUGGGCGCAAGCCUGAUCUAGCCAUGCCGCGUGAUCGAUGAAGGCCUUAGGGUUGUAAAGAUCUUUCGUG